UCUUGAGGUUCUUGUAUCCUCAGCACAUACAGGGUCUAGAGAGAUCUGCUGUGGUGAUCUUUGCUUAUUUUGUUGACAAGAUGGCAUCUGACAAACUUCUGGCUGUAAGUGAAUGUUGACAUUUCUAGCGGACUUAGCUCUAGGGUCCAGAAUAUUGGCAUCACAAACUUUGGCAAAUUCAGUAGUACCUCAGGUUAAGUACUUAAUUCGUUCCGGAGGUCCGUUCUUAACCUGAAACUGUUCUUAACCUGAAGCACUUUAGCUAAUGGGGCCUCCCGCUGCCGCCGCGCCGCCGGAGCACAAUUUCUGUUUUCAUCCUGAAGCAGAGGUCUUAACCUGAGGUACUAUUUCUGGGUUAUCGGAGUCUGUAACCUGAAGUGUACGUAACCCAAGGUACCACUGUAGCUAUCAAAGGUCAAAGAAAGGCAAGUUUUUGGCAGAGAAUAAUGAAGGCUCUAAAGGAAAUGUUAGUAUUAUAUAUAUAUAGUUAGGGGUGCCAAAUUGAAUGAAAUAUGGGGGGGCACAUACUUGAUCACAUGACACAGUGUGUGUGCGCGCGCGCACACACACACACCAUUUGAAUGGGAAUGCUCAUCAACUUUGGGGGGAGUCUGGCCCCCUCUAAUCUAGUUUAACAUGGAAAGGAAGAGACAGAAAAAUUAAAAUAUAUAUUCAGCCAGUGCUUUUUUCUGGGGGGACGCAGGGGGACGCAUACCCCUAAACAUUUUGUGAAUCUAAGUUUGGCCUCAUUGAGGGCCAGUAUUUCAAUAUGAGUAGGAAAAUGAGGGUACGCCUAAACAUGUUUUUAGGGGGGAAAGCACUGUUUUCAGCCACUGACUUGAGGUGGUGGUGAUGAUGACAUUUAGUGAACCAGAGCACUCCCUAUAUGCUGGCUUCUUGUCCUAACAGUAACUUCUCUGGGUCUCUCCUCAGCCCUCCCUGGAGCUUCCAACAUCCAUGCUGGGUCUGCUGGUGGCAGUUUCAUGCCUUUGUGCCUUGGGUCCUGACAUGGAAUGCCACCAGCAGGCUGCACAAACCCUCUGAAAUCUCCUGCCCAUCCUGCCUGGGAAAGAAUGUAAGCCUGGAAGGAAUGCAUUGCCUGCAAGACCGUAAACCCAAGGAUUACAGAAGCACAGAAUAAUUGUUAUUGUUUUUUUAUUUUGAUUUAAAAACAACACCACCCACCUUGGUGGAGGGGAGUGAUUUAAAAGUAGCCUAAAGAGGACUGAGUGCAGCCAUGGAAGCUUGAAUGCUUGGCAGAGGGGGCGGGAUAGGAAUGGAGUGGUUGAAAUCCCAAAGGGCAGCACUCCAGAGUGCAACGUUUCGUUGCAUGACCCAGCUGUAAAUACAUUCUGUUUAAAGUGACUACUUCCCCUGCCCUCAUGUUUACACCACCUUUGGGAUCUCAGGGCUCGUCCACACGUCCGCUUGUCCCGUGCCUAGAAAACACAGGUGCGGGCGGGUCAUACGGAGCUGUGGACGAGCCCUUGUGAGCUCUGCCCGAAGAAGGACGGGACAACACAGAUUGUUAGAACUUCAAAGCCUUUAAAGGGCCAACAACUCUCUGGCCCCAAGACAGGCACUCUUCCUCCAUUUCAUAGGCUCCACUGCCUGGUGCAUUUCCUGCACCACCCGUCUGGUAAUAUGCCACAGGGGGUGGGCAUCAAUUUACCAUCACACGCACAGAUUUUAGGAAUGUUGUGUUGCGUGUCAUUUUCAAGGUGGCUUUUAAUUUGAUUUGAGGGAGGGCUAGGGGGCACUACUGUCCCGGAUGGUGGUUUGGACAUCGCAGCUGCUCUCUGCCUCCAGGUCAGCCUUGACCCAGGGAAGGGGGAGCCUCGGCUGGGCGCCCCACAGCUGCUCUCCUUCCUGACCCAGGGAAGGAGGAGUUGAGGCUGGGAAUGCAGGACACACAUGGCAGGACACACACAGAUCUUCACCCUCUGUAGCCAUCAGCCCCCACGUCUGGCAGGGCGUGAGGAGAAUGGGGGGGGGAGGCUAUCUGGUUCACGCCCCCCCAUGUUCUGCGCCCAGAGCCAUGUCCCCCAUGCCCCUCCCAUGCUACACCACAUCUCAUGCUGUGAGUUCUGAACAAAGAAAUCUGGUGGGCUACUUGGAUUUUACAUUGCUGAAAUUAGUCCCUUUUGCCUCAGUACAGAUCACCUGCAGUAGCUGCAAACCAGCAAGGUCAACAUCAGAGGAUCUGGAACUACAACCAUCCUCUGCGGAGGACAGCAACUCCGGAAACAGAAGAUUCCAUGAGCGGCUGUCAUCUGCGAAAGAGACCCACUGAUUAUGCUAAGUAGACACCUCUGCCCUCGAACCAAAACAUUGUGGUGACUUCGAUACCUUGAUAUACAACUGUUAACACCUCCAGUCUUUGUUUAUCUCCCAUCAAUUGCCCACUUUUGCCAGUGGCACACACACAUGAGCAUGUCCGCCCCCGUUCUGCUGGAUCCGCAUGUCAGCAAUUGCACAUCAGUUGGACGCUCCUAAAAUGGUUGGUGCUAUUUUCCAGAACACUGAUUGUAUGUGUGUAUGUAUGCUCUUGUUGACCAUUUUUUAUUAUUAUUUCAUUUAUUAUUAUUAUUUUUGCCAAAUCCUUUUUAUUGAUUUUCAAUUUUUUACAAACCGGCCACCAACUGAAACAAAUUUAACAUUUUCCCAAAGAAAAAUCAGUUUAACAUUUUUCCAAAUCUGACUUCCUGCACACCCUCCUGGAUAUGUCAAUAGUUCUUAGUGCUGCAUCAUAUUCCCCAAUUAUUUCUAGUUUGCCUUCAAACAUUACAAAUAACCUUCCAGUACAUUAUAUUUGCUUUUUUUUAAAAAACAACAACUCCAUUUCAAACAGCUAUCCAUCAAUCAAUUCCUGCACAUAUAUUAAAUUAACAUUUCCAAUUUCAGGGAGUGAGGUUACUUAACAGAUUAUCAGUCCCUGCUGAAUUAUUGACUAAUAUUAUAUAACAUUGAAUAAAACUUCCUCUCCUUUCAUCUGCGUGUGUAGAAACACAAUCUUCUUGCUGCUCAACUCCUUUGUCCCUCGUCGCAUGUAAACGGGGGUCUUUUUCUUUUCUUUUUUACAGCAGAAACUCCAAGGUCGACCAUCUCGCUUGGUGCAUUUUCCAACCAGCCCAUAAUCAUCAUCGGCGGGGGUGGGGCGCGCCGGGCUAACCACUUUCUCCUUCACAGUUCAAGUUCUUAUUACAGCCUCUCCCCGUGAUUCGAGGUACUCGAGCAGAUUUGCCCCACCGUUAGACUUUCCAGUUCUCUGUGCAAAAAAAUCUGCUCCUUUCUGGCUGGUUUGCUUUUAAUUCCUCCAUCAUAAAUUGUCCAACGAUCCAACAGUCCAAAUUUUAAUUUGCUUCCUUAUAGUUCGUUAAUAGUUUUGUAUUCCUUUAAUCCCAUCAAUCUAAGACCUCCGGGUAUAGGGCGGUAUAUAAAAUUCAAUAAAUAAAUAAAUAGUAGUAGUAGUAGUAGUAGUAAGGAGGGGGUUGGGGUGGAUGAAGAUGGCGUCGAGGUAAGACGCUCUCACCAGAGCUGCACAGAUUCUUUUUUAAUUACAUGAAGGGGAUUGCUCGCGGCCGGGCUUUCUAUUUUUCUUUUUCUCGGAGGCAAGGUUUUUAUAUGUUUUAUGUGCUCCGGCACUUAAGGGCUUUUAAUAUUCAAAUCUAGUAAGGGAAUGGUGUUUCUCUCUUGACAUAACGGUGCAUGUAUAGCUCAGAGCAGUCUUCCCGUCCUCCAUUGUUGCAGCAGCAUCCACGUUAUUCUGAACCUCAUCGUCGCAGAUUUCCCGUCCCGUUUUGUUUAAAAACCCUCACUUAUAUAUUUCCAUAGUCAAGGGGGGCGAGGAGAGAGAUUCUGAACCCUUACUUUAUAAGCACAUGUUUAAAUCUUUGCAGUCAUAAACGUUAACGAAAAUAAUAACAAAAAUAGAUCUCCCCACCCUACCUUUUCCAAUAAAGGUUCCCCUUUAUCACGUAGCUGCACAACAAGACAAUGACCACGUCAGUGUGGUUAACUUGACCCAACCUUACCCCCCCAAACAUACAAACAAGCCACACACUGCAAUCAACCGAAUUUAAUCAACCAAAUCCUUGUAAUCAUAAAUGUUAACAAAAAUAAUAGCAAAAAAAGCAACAACAGCCCCUAUCUGCCCCCCUCCAUCUUUUCCAAUCUUAUCCAUGCAGGAACUGCCAUUCAAGCCUCUUGC